rnacentral:rRNA from 10 species
UUAAGUUAUUAAGGGCGCACGGUGGAUGCCUUGGCACUAGAAGCCGAUGAAGGACGUUACUAACGACGAUAUGCUUUGGGGAGCUGUAAGUAAGCUUUGAUCCAGAGAUUUCCGAAUGGGGAAACCCAGCAUGAGUUAUGUCAUGUUAUCGAUAUGUGAAUACAUAGCAUAUCAGAAGGCACACCCGGAGAACUGAAACAUCUUAGUACCCGGAGGAAGAGAAAGAAAAUUCGAUUCCCUUAGUAGCGGCGAGCGAAACGGGAAGAGCCCAAACCAACAAGCUUGCUUGUUGGGGUUGUAGGACACUCUAUACGGAGUUACAAAGGACGACAUUAGACGAAUCAUCUGGAAAGAUGAAUCAAAGAAGGUAAUAAUCCUGUAGUCGAAAAUGUUGUCUCUCUUGAGUGGAUCCUGAGUACGACGGAGCACGUGAAAUUCCGUCGGAAUCUGGGAGGACCAUCUCCUAAGGCUAAAUACUCUCUAGUGACCGAUAGUGAACCAGUACCGUGAGGGAAAGGUGAAAAGCACCCCGGAAGGGGAGUGAAACAGAACCUGAAACCGUGUGCUUACAAGUAGUCAGAGCCCGUUAAUGGGUGAUGGCGUGCCUUUUGUAGAAUGAACCGGCGAGUUACGAUUUGAUGCAAGGUUAAGCAGUAAAUGUGGAGCCGUAGCGAAAGCGAGUCUGAAUAGGGCGUUUAGUAUUUGGUCGUAGACCCGAAACCAGGUGAUCUACCCUUGGUCAGGUUGAAGUUCAGGUAACACUGAAUGGAGGACCGAACCGACUUACGUUGAAAAGUGAGCGGAUGAACUGAGGGUAGCGGAGAAAUUCCAAUCGAACCUGGAGAUAGCUGGUUCUCUCCGAAAUAGCUUUAGGGCUAGCCUCAAGUGAUGAUUAUUGGAGGUAGAGCACUGUUUGGACGAGGGGCCCCUCUCGGGUUACCGAAUUCAGACAAACUCCGAAUGCCAAUUAAUUUAACUUGGGAGUCAGAACAUGGGUGAUAAGGUCCGUGUUCGAAAGGGAAACAGCCCAGACCACCAGCUAAGGUCCCAAAAUAUAUGUUAAGUGGAAAAGGAUGUGGCGUUGCCCAGACAACUAGGAUGUUGGCUUAGAAGCAGCCAUCAUUUAAAGAGUGCGUAAUAGCUCACUAGUCGAGUGACACUGCGCCGAAAAUGUACCGGGGCUAAACAUAUUACCGAAGCUGUGGAUUGUCCUUUGGACAAUGGUAGGAGAGCGUUCUAAGGGCGUUGAAGCAUGAUCGUAAGGACAUGUGGAGCGCUUAGAAGUGAGAAUGCCGGUGUGAGUAGCGAAAGACGGGUGAGAAUCCCGUCCACCGAUUGACUAAGGUUUCCAGAGGAAGGCUCGUCCGCUCUGGGUUAGUCGGGUCCUAAGCUGAGGCCGACAGGCGUAGGCGAUGGAUAACAGGUUGAUAUUCCUGUACCACCUAUAAUCGUUUUAAUCGAUGGGGGGGACGCAGUAGGAUAGGCGAAGCGUGCGAUUGGAUUGCACGUCUAAGCAGUAAGGCUGAGUAUUAGGCAAAUCCGGUACUCAUUAAGGCUGAGCUGUGAUGGGGAGAAGACAUUGUGUCUUCGAGUCGUUGAUUUCACACUGCCGAGAAAAGCCUCUAGAUAGAAAAUAGGUGCCCGUACCGCAAACCGACACAGGUAGUCAAGAUGAGAAUUCUAAGGUGAGCGAGCGAACUCUCGUUAAGGAACUCGGCAAAAUGACCCCGUAACUUCGGGAGAAGGGGUGCUCUUUAGGGUUAACGCCCAGAAGAGCCGCAGUGAAUAGGCCCAAGCGACUGUUUAUCAAAAACACAGGUCUCUGCUAAACCGUAAGGUGAUGUAUAGGGGCUGACGCCUGCCCGGUGCUGGAAGGUUAAGAGGAGUGGUUAGCUUCUGCGAAGCUACGAAUCGAAGCCCCAGUAAACGGCGGCCGUAACUAUAACGGUCCUAAGGUAGCGAAAUUCCUUGUCGGGUAAGUUCCGACCCGCACGAAAGGCGUAACGAUUUGGGCACUGUCUCAACGAGAGACUCGGUGAAAUCAUAGUACCUGUGAAGAUGCAGGUUACCCGCGACAGGACGGAAAGACCCCGUGGAGCUUUACUGUAGCCUGAUAUUGAAAUUCGGCACAGCUUGUACAGGAUAGGUAGGAGCCUUUGAAACGUGAGCGCUAGCUUACGUGGAGGCGCUGGUGGGAUACUACCCUAGCUGUGUUGGCUUUCUAACCCGCACCACUUAUCGUGGUGGGAGACAGUGUCAGGCGGGCAGUUUGACUGGGGCGGUCGCCUCCUAAAAGGUAACGGAGGCGCUCAAAGGUUCCCUCAGAAUGGUUGGAAAUCAUUCAUAGAGUGUAAAGGCAUAAGGGAGCUUGACUGCGAGACCUACAAGUCGAGCAGGGUCGAAAGACGGACUUAGUGAUCCGGUGGUUCCGCAUGGAAGGGCCAUCGCUCAACGGAUAAAAGCUACCCCGGGGAUAACAGGCUUAUCUCCCCCAAGAGUUCACAUCGACGGGGAGGUUUGGCACCUCGAUGUCGGCUCAUCGCAUCCUGGGGCUGUAGUCGGUCCCAAGGGUUGGGCUGUUCGCCCAUUAAAGCGGUACGCGAGCUGGGUUCAGAACGUCGUGAGACAGUUCGGUCCCUAUCCGUCGUGGGCGUAGGAAAUUUGAGAGGAGCUGUCCUUAGUACGAGAGGACCGGGAUGGACAUACCUCUGGUGUACCAGUUGUCGUGCCAACGGCAUAGCUGGGUAGCUAUGUGUGGACGGGAUAAGUGCUGAAAGCAUCUAAGCAUGAAGCCCCCCUCAAGAUGAGAUUUCCCAACUUCGGUUAUAAGAUCCCUCAAAGAUGAUGAGGUUAAUAGGUUCGAGGUGGAAGCAUGGUGACAUGUGGAGCUGACGAAUACUAAUCGAUCGAAGACUUAAUCAA